rnacentral:rRNA from 1 species
AAUGAACGCUGGCGGCGUGCCUAACGCAUGCAAGUCGGAUGUGCCGCAAGGUGCAUGGCAGACGGGUGAGUAACGCGUGGGGAACCUACCUCUUCGUGGGGAAUAACGAUCCGAAGGGAUUGGUAAUACCGCAUGAGACCGACGGCUGGGAUGCUGUCGGUGAAAGCUGGGGACCGGAAACGGCCUGGCGCGAGGAGAGGGUCCUGCGUCUGAUUAGCUAGUUGGUGGGGUAACGCCUACCAAGGCAUCGAGUCAGUAGCCGGCCUGAGAGGGUGAUCGGCCACACUGGAACUGAGACACGGUCCAGACUCCUACGGGAGGCAGCAGUGGGGAAUUUUGCGCAAUGGACGAAAGUCUGACGCAGCAACGCCGCGUGGGUGAUGAAGGUCUUCGGAUUGUAAAACCCUGUCGUCGGGGACGAAGGUAGGAGGGUUAAUAGCCCUUUUGCUUGACGGUACCCGGAGAGGAAGCCCCCGGCUAACUCUGUGCCAGCAGCCGCGGUAAU